rnacentral:rRNA from 1 species
GAUGAACGCUAGCGGCAGGCCUAACACAUGCAAGUCGAGGGGGAAGUUACUUUCGGGUAACUGAGACCGGCGUACGGGUGCGUAACGCGUAUACAAUCUGCCUUUCACUGGGGGAUAGCCCGAAGAAAUUUGGAUUAAUACCCCAUAGUAUAUAGGGACGGCAUCGUUUUUAUAUUAAAGCUACGGUGGUGAAAGAUGAGUAUGCGUUCUAUUAGCUAGUUGGAGAGGUAACGGCUCCCCAAGGCGAUGAUAGAUAGGGGUUCUGAGAGGGAUGUCCCCCACACUGGUACUGAGAUACGGACCAGACUCCUACGGGAGGCAGCAGUGAGGAAUAUUGGACAAUGGUCGGAAGACUGAUCCAGCCAUGCCGCGUGCAGGAUGAAGGUCUUAUGGAUUGUAAACUGCUUUUGUAAGGGAAGAAUAAGAGCUACGCGUAGUUGAGACGGUACC